rnacentral:rRNA from 1 species
CAUGCAAGUCGAGCGGAAAGGCCCCUUCGGGGGUACUCGAGCGGCGAACGGGUGAGUAACACGUGAGCAACCUGCCCCUGACUCUGGGAUAAGCCCGGGAAACUGGGUCUAAUACCGGAUGUGACCAGCCUCCGCAUGGAGUGCUGGUGGAAAGUUUUUCGGUUGGGGAUGGGCUCGCGGCCUAUCAGCUUGUUGGUGGGGUGAUGGCCUACCAAGGCGACGACGGGUAACCGGCCUGAGAGGGCGACCGGUCACACUGGGACUGAGACACGGCCCAGACUCCUACGGGAGGCAGCAGUGGGGAAUAUUGCGCAAUGGGCGGAAGCCUGACGCAGCGACGCCGCGUGAGGGAUGACGGCCUUCGGGUUGUAAACCUCUUUCAGCAGGGACGAAGCUAACGUGACGGUACCUGCAGAAGAAGCGCCGGCUAACUACGUGCCAGCAGCCGCGGUAAUUA